GACGAACGCUGGCGGCGUGCCUAAUACAUGCAAGUCGAACGCUUCUUUCCUCCCGAGUGCUUGCACUCAAUUGGAAAGAGGAGUGGCGGACGGGUGAGUAACACGUGGGUAACCUACCCAUCAGAGGGGGAUAACACUUGGAAACAGGUGCUAAUACCGCAUAACAGUUUAUGCCGCAUGGCAUAAGAGUGAAAGGCGCUUUCGGGUGUCGCUGAUGGAUGGACCCGCGGUGCAUUAGCUAGUUGGUGAGGUAACGGCUCACCAAGGCCACGAUGCAUAGCCGACCUGAGAGGGUGAUCGGCCACACUGGGACUGAGACACGGCCCAGACUCCUACGGGAGGCAGCAGUAGGGAAUCUUCGGCAAUGGACGAAAGUCUGACCGAGCAACGCCGCGUGAGUGAAGAAGGUUUUCGGAUCGUAAAACUCUGUUGGUAGAGAAGAACAAGGACGUUAGUAACUGAACGUCCCCUGACGGUAUCUAACCAGAAAGCCACGGCUAACUACGUG
rnacentral:rRNA from 1 species